GAUGAACGCUGGCGGCGUGCCUAAUACAUGCAAGUCGAGCGAAUGGAUUAAGAGCUUGCUCUUAUGAAGUUAGCGGCGGACGGGUGAGUAACACGUGGGUAACCUGCCCAUAAGACUGGGAUAACUCCGGGAAACCGGGGCUAAUACCGGAUAACAUUUUGAACCGCAUGGGUCGAAAUUGAAAGGCGGCUUCGGCUGUCAUUUAGGGAUGGAACAGGGUAGCAUUAGCUAGUUGGGGAGGUAACGGCUCACCAAGGCAACGAUGCGUAGCCGACCUGAGAGGGUGAUCGGCCACACUGGGACUGAGACACGGCCCAGACUCCUACGGGAGGCAGCAGUAGGGAAUCUUCCGCAAUGGACGAAAGUCUGACGGAGCAACGCCGCGUGAGUGAUGAAGGCUUUCGGGUCGUAAAACUCUGUUGUUAGGGAAGAACAAGUGCUAGUUGAAUAAGCUGGCACCUUGACGGUACCUAACCAGAAAGCCACGGCUAACUACGUGCCAGCCGCCGCCGUAA
rnacentral:rRNA from 1 species